rnacentral:lncRNA from 1 species
GAAUCCCUCAGCCUCUUAAACUCAGCCUUCAGAUGAAUCCCUCAGCCUCUUAAACUCAGCCUUUCUCUGUCUCUCAACUCAAUCUUAACUCAACGAAGAAAAAAAAAAAAGCAGAAUGAGGAGAGCGAGAGAGAAGGGAAGAAGAGGAAAAAAAAAAAUUAUGGAAUGGGUUUUUAUGUUUUGCUGUUUUGGAUUGUGAUGAAGCGAGAGAGAAGAGGGAAGAGGAAGUAGGGAAAGAGACGGAGAAAUAGAAGAAGAAAGAAAAAGAAAAGCAGAUAGAGGAGAGCGAGAGAGAGAAUGGAAGAAGAGGGAAAAAAAGGUAUGGAGUGGGUCUUUAUAUUUUACUGUUUUGGAUUGUGAUGGAGGAGAGAGAAGAGGGAAGAGGAAGAAGAGAAAGAGAGGGAGAGAGACGGAGAGAUAGAUGAAGAAAGGGAGAGAGAGAGAGUGUGUAUGUGUGUGUGAAACGGAAGAGGAAGAAGAGGAAUAAAUAAAUAAUAUAAAAAGGGAGAGAUGGGUGAAUGCCCAAAAGAGAAAGAGAAGGCAGGUUGCGUGUAUCUGCAACCUUGGGAAGUUUAGACAAAAAAAAAGGAAAAAAAAAACCUUGGGAAGUGGGAAAUGUGACUUAAUUACUUAAUAUAAUUUAUUUCUUUUCUAUUUAAUCCAUUUAAUGUUAUUGAUUAUUUUAUUAUUCAUUAUAAGUACUUACAUUACUAAAUUCUCC